rnacentral:rRNA from 1 species
CUACGGGGCGCACCAGUGAGGAAUAUUGCGCAAUGGGGGAAACCCUGACGCAGCGACGCCGCGUGGAUGAUGAAGGCCUUCGGGUCGUAAAAUCCUGUCAGAAGGAAAGAAGUGUAUGGUAGCUAAUAUCUGCCAUACUUGACGGUACCUUCAAAGGAAGCACCGGCUAACUCCGUGCCAGCAGCCGCGGUGAAUACGGAGGGUGCAAGCGUUGUUCGGAAUUACUGGGCGUAAAGCGCGCGUAGGCGGUUUUAUAAGUCAGAUGUGAAAGUCCACGGCUCAACCAUGGAAGUGCAUUUGAAACUGUAAGACUUGAGUAUUGGAGGGGGUAGUGGAAUUCCCGGUGUAGAGGUGAAAUUCGUAGAUAUCGGGAGGAAUACCGGUGGCGAAGGCGACUAUCUGGCCAAAUACUGACGCUGAGGUGCGAAAGCGUGGGGAGCAAACAGGAUUAGAUACCCCAGUAGUC